rnacentral:rRNA from 1 species
CAUGAAUUGGGCUAACGAAGAUCUUUUGGCACCUCUAAAAAGGGUGCAGAAUAAGGGGUGGGCAAGUCUGGUGUCCACAGCCGCGGUAAUACCAGCACCCCGAGUGGUCGGGACGAUUAUUGGGCCUAAAGCAUCCGUAGCCGGUUCUGCAAGUCUUCCGUUAAAUCCAGCUGCUUAACAGAUGGGCUGCGGAGGAUACUACAGAACUAGGAGGCANRGAGAGGCAAGUGGUACUCAUNUGGGUAGGGGUAAGAAUCNUUUGAUCGCCUGAUGAG